GACGAACGCUGGCGGCGUGCCUAAUACAUGCAAGUAGAACGCUGAAGGAGGAGCUUGCUUCUCUGGAUGAGUUGCGAACGGGUGAGUAACGCGUAGGUAGCCUGCCUGGUAGCGGGGGAUAACUAUUGGAAACGAUAGCUAAUACCGCAUAAUAGUAGAUGUUGCAUGACAUUUGCUUAAAAGGUGCAAUUGCAUCACUACCAGAUGGACCUGCGUUGUAUUAGCUAGUUGGUGGGGUAACGGCUCACCAAGGCGACGAUACAUAGCCGACCUGAGAGGGUGAUCGGCCACACUGGGACUGAGACACGGCCCAGACUCCUGCGGGAGGCAGCAGUAGGGAAUCUUCGGCAAUGGACGGAAGUCUGACUGAGCAACGCCGCGUGAGUGAAGAAGGUUUUCGGAUCGUAAAGCUCUGUUGUAAGAGAAGAACGAGUGUGAGAGUGGAAAGUUCACACUGUGACGGUAUCUUACCAGAAAGGGACGGCUAACUACGUG
rnacentral:rRNA from 1 species